AUAAAAUUCUUGUAGUUCAUUAAUUUUUCGUAUCAGCUUGUUCAGUUCAUUGAAUUCCUGCUCUUGGGUGUGCGAAAGAGUAGAUAACUCUACGUUAGGGAGUUGCAACUUCUUAUUCAACUCUGACAUCCCGGAAUUAUUGAUAUGAAGUUCAUUUUCGUUCUCCCUUACACUAUAUGCAUCUUGAUCUUCAUUAUUAACAAAAUCCUGAGUUGAAUGCAUUUGUCCUUGAGAGAUGCGUGUACGCUGUUUUGGUAAUUUAUGAAUAAGCUUGGACGAUUUUCCUUUAGCUUUGAUAUGUCAGCUUAAUCUACACAGAAUAAAUAUACCUUGUUCUUUUAGUUCACUAUCUUUAGAUGUUUGCAUAUUAUUUUUUCUCAUACUUUGUGGUGGAUAGUGUUAACAUUAAUAAUUGAUCCUGGUGUGCAAAUACAU